rnacentral:rRNA from 1 species
GACGAACGCUGGCGGCGUGCUUAACACAUGCAAGUCGAGCGGUAAGGCCCUUUCGGGGGUACACGAGCGGCGAACGGGUGAGUAACACGUGGGUGACCUGCCCUUAGCUCUGGGAUAAGCCUGGGAAACUGGGUCUAAUACCGGAUAUGACUCCAUAACGCAUGUUGUGGGGUGGAAAGCCUUGUGCGGCUAGGGAUGGGCCCGCGGCCUAUCAGCUUGUUGGUGGGGUGAUGGCCACCAAGGCGACGACGGGUAGCCGGCCUGAGAGGGCGACCGGCCACACUGGGACUGAGGCACGGCCCAGACUCCUACGGGAGGCAGCAGUGGGGAAUCUUGCGCAAUGGGCGAAAGCCUGACGCAGCGACGCCGCGU